rnacentral:rRNA from 1 species
GGCUGCUGCAGACAGCCCGGUCGGAAGAGCAAGGACAGCCGCUAGCCGAACGUUCCUGGAAAGGGCGGCCGGAGCGGGUGAGAGCCCCGUAGGCGAAAGCGGACUGGCGCCGAUAUUCCUCGGUCGUGAGUACCGCGGAGCACGUGGAAUUCCGUGGGAAGCUGGGGGGACCACCCUCCAAGGCUAAAUACUCGUAGCGACCGAUAGUGAACAAGUACCGUGAGGGAAAGGUGAAAAGCACCCCGGGAGGGGGAUGAAAAGAUCCUGAAACCGUGCGCCUACAAGCAGUCGGAGGUCCCUCGUGGACUGACGGCGUGCUUAUUGAAGAAUGAGCCGGCGAGUUACUCCGUGUAGCGAGGUUAAGCGCUGGAAGCGCGGAGCCGGAGCGAAAGCGAGUCCGAAGAGGGCGCCAAGUUGCACGGAGUAGACCCGAAACCGAGUGAGCUAUCCAUGGCCAGGUUGAAGGCCCGCUCGCGCGGGCUGGAGGACCGAACCCGUGGGUGCUGCAAUACCCUGGGAUGAGCUGUGGAUAGGCGUGAAAAGCGAAUCACACUCGGAGAUAUCUGGUUCUCCCCGAAAUGCAUGCAGUGCAGCCUCGAGUGCACCAUCGCGGGGGUAGGGCACUGAAUGGGGGAGGUGGCGCGAGCCUCCCUCCCCCAAUCAAACCACGAAUACCGCGAUGGGUUGCUCGGGAGUGAGACCGCGGGAGAAAGUUCCGUGGUCGAGAGGGAAACAGCCCUGACCGCCAGCUAAGGUCCCCAAAUCUGGACUCAGUGUGAAAGGAUGUGGAACCGCCCAGACAGCCAGGAGGUUGGCUUAGAAGCAGCCAUCCUUGAAAGAGUGCGUAAUAGCUCACUGGCCGAGCGGUUCUGCGCCGACAAUGUAUCGGGGCUCAAGUCCAGUACCGAAGCUGCGGAAUCCGCCCUCCUGGGCGGAUUGGUAGGGGAGCGUCGUGGGAGCGGUGAAGCCAUCCCGGAAGGGGUGGUGGAGCGACCACGAGUGCGAAUGCCGGCAUGAGUAGCGUAAGGGACGUGAAGAAGCGUCCCCGCCGAAAGCCCAAGGGUUCCUACGGAAGGUACAUCCGCGUAGGGUGAGUCGGGCCUAAGCCGAGGCCGAAAGGCGUAGGCGAUGGACAAACGGUUAAUAUUCCGUUACCGCUCGCGGACGAUCAAGUCCGCAUGCAGGACGCGUUGGGGGAGGCCGGGCGUAGCGAUGGAGAUGCUGCGUCCAACCUCGCAGGCCUUCGGGCCGAGGAGGGGGGCAGUCCGCGGGCAACCAAGGACGAUCCGGCUGAGCCCUCGACGCCGAGAAAAGCCGCAUGCGGGAAGCCGCGAGCGCCCGUACCGCAAACCGACACAGGUGGGCUGGAGUGAGAGCUCCAAGGCGAUCGGGUGAUUCCUCGUUAAGGAACUCGGCAAAUUGCCCCCGUAACUUCGGGAGAAGGGGGGCCCCGCUAGGGUGAAGGCGCAAGCCGCUGGAGCCCGAGGGGGCCGCAGAGAAGAGGCCCAGGCGACUGUUUACCAAAAACACAGCUCCCUGCGAAAGCGUCAAGCUGACGUAUAGGGGGCGACGCCUGCCCAGUGCCGGGCGGUCAAGGGGAAGGGUGAUGAGCUCGGAACCGAAGCCCCCGGUAAACGGCGGCCGUAACUCUAACGGCCCGAAGGUAGCGAGAUUCCUUGUCGGGUAAGUUCCGACCGGCACGAAAGGCGUAACGACCUGGGCGCUGUCUCAACGAGGAGCCCGGCGAAAUUGAACUGGCUGUGAAGAUGCAGUCUACCCGCAGUAGGACAAAAAGACCCCGUGGAGCUUUACUGCAGCCUGAUGUUGGAUCGGGGCUGAGCAUGCGUAGGAUAGGUGGGAGCCGAGGAACCCCGGACUCCGGUUCGGGGGGAGGCGCCAGUGCAAGACCACCCUGGCGUGGGGUCCCCGGUCCUAACCACGGCCGUGAGCCGGUCGUGGGACCGCGUCAGGUGGGCAGUUUGACUGUGGCGGUGGCCUCCUAAAAGGUAACGGAGGCGUCCAAAGGUUCCCUCAGGCUGGAUGGAAAUCAGCCGUCGAGUGCAUUGGCAUAAGGGAGCUUGACUGUGAGGCUCACAAGCCGAGCAGGGACGAAAGUCGGGCAAAGUGAUCCUCUGGUACCGCGUGGAAGGGCCAGGGCUUAACGGAUAAAAGCUACCCCGGGGAUAACAGGCUGAUCUUGCCCGAGAGUCCA